UGGGCAACCUGCCCCUCCCUCUGGGAUAACCCCGGGAAACCGGAGCUAAUACCGGAUACUCCGGCUGGAUCGCAUGGUCCGGCCGGGAAAGGUCCGCCGGAGAGGGAUGGGCCCGCGGCCUAUCAGCUUGUUGGUGGGGUCAUGGCUCACCAAGGCGACGACGGGUAGCUGGUCUGAGAGGACGACCAGCCACACUGGAACUGAGAUACGGUCCAGACUCCUACGGGAGGCA
rnacentral:rRNA from 1 species